rnacentral:rRNA from 1 species
UACAGAGGCCUCGAGCGUUAGGCGGAAUCACUGGGCUUAAAGCGUGUGUAGGCGGACCCCUAAGUACCUUGUGAAAUCCCACGGCUCACCCGUGGAACGGCUGGGUAUACUGGGGGUCUUGAGCCACCUAGGGGCGAGUGGAACAAAUGGUGGAGCGGUGAAAUGCGUAGAUAUCAUUUGGAACGCCAAUGGUGAAAACAACUCGCUGGGGGUGUGCUGACGCUGAGACACGAAAGCCAGGGAAGCGAACGGG